CUGGUUUCUUCAACUUAUUCCACAAGAGUGAACAAGUAAGAAAUAACAGUUCUUCCUGGAUCAGCCCUCUCCCGUCUGUCAUCUCCAACAGAUACAAAGCCAGCUUUAAGAAGACCAAACCUACAAAAAUCAUUCAUGCUUUCUGCCUCCAUGUUUUUCUUUCCAACCUAGUUCCUCCAGAAAAUGUAAAAGAGCAACCGAACCGUCAACUGGUACAAUGACUUCUACACGUCAGACCUCGGCCACGCCACAGUCAUCAGAUUAUUCUAUCACAGGGUCUCUCAACCGUGGAAUAUGGUCUCCAAGGGAAACAAGCCAGAGAGGGCUCAGGAGCACUGCUAUAAAGAGUAGGCAAAUGGAAAUCUUUCCCCAAAGGGCACACUGGGAUUGUUAGGCGAGGGCUGCUCAAUCCAUUAGAAGUUUAAACUCGAAAAAAAAAAAGAAAAAAAAACCUUUUGAAAAAAUACAGAAAGCAACCUGUUCUAGAUUUUAUGUAUAAAAGAGAGUUUAUUCAGGGGACUGAAAUGUUGAUAGUGAAUCAACUGGGAGGAUAUUUUCAAUCAGAACCGUGUGACUGACAGCUUUCGUAUUAUUAAUGCACAUACUAGGAGACAUCAAAUUUGAAGGGCAGGCAUUGUGCUAAGUCAGACUUCUACCUUAAAAUGCAUUACAUUUUGUCUGUAAAUCAAGGUCAGUUAUUAAAUUAAGGUGCUCUCAUCCCUAAAUACUUU
rnacentral:lncRNA from 1 species